rnacentral:rRNA from 1 species
AGCGUUGUUCGGAAUUACUGGGCGUAAAGGGCUCGUAGGUGGCCAACUAAGUCAGACGUGAAAUCCCUCGGCUUAACCGGGGAACUGCGUCUGAUACUGGAUGGCUUGAGUUUGGGAGAGGGACGCGGAAUUCCAGGUGUAGCGGUGAAAUGCGUAGAUAUCUGGAGGAACACCGGUGGCGAAGGCGGCGUCCUGGACCAACACUGACACUGAGUGAGCGAAAGCCAGGGGAGCAAACGGG